GAAAAUGAAGGAUAAUUCAUCUUUGAAAAUAUAUACUUGAGCAUGUGUAUUUUGUUAUCUUAUUCGGGUAACAUAGAGCCAAAUGGCGCAAAGUUGGCAUAUCAUCAUCUGAUGAAAGUGCAGCACUGCCGCUGUUUCCACACUAAGAAUACUCAUAACCUAUCCCAACCUGAGUGGAUAUAUAAAUUCAGAGGGAAAAUCACAAACUACACUAUACCGAUACAGCUAGAUAUCAAGAUUCUCAGGACACAAUGUCUAAACUAAAUUACCCAACAAAAAGUUUGAAUCAUGAAUAGAAUAUAGUUAACAUAACCCCCCGUGCAAACGGUCAUCACGUAUCAGCUAGUAAGAAAGGAGGGAACAAAUCUUGAUUAACAGAACAAUGGAGCACCAUCUUUAGAGAUUGUACAAACUGUAAAAAAAAAAGAAAUCGGUCAGAGUAAAAAAACAUGACUGGAUAUAUAUACAGCUGGAUAUCAAGAUUCUCUGGAGAAAUGCUUAAACUAAAAUACUAAUAAAAAACGAAUCAUGGGCCAUUCAAAAACAACUUCAUAUAGAUAUAUACCCAACAAAGAGUUUGAAUCAUGAAUAUGCAACGCACAUCGCUAACAUGACCCACCAUGCAAACGAUCAUCAUAAAUACCUUUGGAACCCACAACUCAACAUAAAGAUGACAAAGACAAACAUGUAUACCAAAUAGCAUCUGAAAACAUAUCAGGGAAGAUAAUUUUCUGGCAGAACCAAGCAUGCGUAUGAAACUAUCUAAAUAUAUGUGCUAAACAGCCACUGGAAACAUUGCUAUAGAACAGACCGGAUAAAGCAAUUUCCACACAGAACAAUCCAUGCAUGUUUGCACAACCAAUCAAACACAUGUAUAGCAUAGAUACUGACAAACAAUUAGUCUAGAAAGAUUAACUAUGCCGGAGCAAGUUGAUCAUGAAACUCCAUACCAAGACAUCUCCAGAUUUUUCCGGAAAUGAGAGUUCAGUAAGCUACUACCUUCAGCCUCCUAACUGAUUUGAGAGCAGCAUUUAUUAGUUUUUACAAACUUGAAAAAAAAACAUUAGGCACAUUUGAAUAAACAUUCAAGAGAAGGGAACUGCAAAACGAAAUUCAGUAAACAGAAACGUCGCUAUAGCUCAUGACUAAAUUGACUCUCUUUCAGCAAAAAGUAGGAAAGUGUAACCACCUUAGUAAAAAAAUAGAAUGAGCAUGCUACCAUGCCCUCGCGCAGGUUCAAGCUACAUUCGAAGAAGGGACGUCUAUUGAACAAAAACUGGGUCGAUAGUAUUUUGCAAUAGCUAACUAUGCAACUUUUCUCCACAAAUAUGAGAUAAUUUAAAUGGCAGGAUCAUGUUUGUUUUCCCCUUAUUUUCAGUUGGAUUGUAAUAACUCAGCAGCAAAGAGUACACCACCGUGGUUUAGUCUACCAAUCUGAUUCAAUUCAAGAAUGGGUAGCCUAUUCUCUUGUAUAUGUCAGUAAGCUCUUUUUUGUACUCAAGUCAAAACUAAGCAUAAAUAGCUACUCACCUACAUAAGUUGCUGUUGCACAUGCCCAUGUAUUUGGUGCGAGUUGAGGCCUCCUUUAAGUAACAUUAUGACCACUCUUCAUACCUACAAACACCAUCAAAGUAUGAAGUCAAAGCGAGGUGGAACCGUGUAAGGACUAAAGAAAGGCAAAGUGUCCGAUUCAUAAGCAAAGAGAGCAAGAGACCGAACUUUCAGAACAUUUAGGUUUAUUAGUAAGGAAAUAGUGGUAACAUUUUCUUAGUAAUUAAGCUCGAUGGAAAUAAAGGUACUUUUCAUGUAUGACGCCCAAAAAAAGUUUAAACAUCUUUUCCUUUUGCUGUACCAUGACCAUACCACAAUGUGAGCUGCAGACAGGGAAAAGUUCAGAUCCAAAAUCAUAUCUAAUAGAUAUGUUUGUACAUUAAGGAAAAGAAAAACAUUACUGGUAGCAUUCUGCAAAAACACAUUAAGAAAUGGAGCUUUUGGACCAGUGAAUUACACUGGUAUUCUCAAAAUACCACAUGUACAAUCUCACUGGUGAGAACCAGUGCAAGAUUAAGAAAUUAUCUAAGUCUAUAAGCUUUUUAUGAAUGAUGCUAGACUUAUUUUUUUAUUGCAAGAAUCAAUGCUAGCAGGCUGUUUCGUAGAGUUACUCAGCGGAAGAUGCCACAACCAAUAGAAAUUGGCAGUAGAUUUCAUCUAUGCCUGCUGCUCCAUCCUGCAGUAAUUAUUUAGAACAACAAAUAAGAUGAUUGUCAGAUUAGAGAAGGCACACUUCUUGCAUAAAAAAGAGAAGGCCACACUAAAGAAGCACGUUCCUAGUAUGUAUCUAUAAACAUAGAUAUGCUACUGAUAAAUAUAACUGAACUAUUUCCCAUAGGAAAAGGAAAACAUGCAUGUGGCUAGAAAGAAUAAGCAUGUAGCUAGAAAGAAAGGAAGCAAACAUCAAGUAGCAGGACAUAGUUACAGCAAAGUAGGAGCUCAAGAUGCAGCAACAAAGGAGAUCCUAGAACCAGCUAAAUAAACAGAGAUGAAGUAGUCAAAGCACACGCAUGAUGUGGAUCGGUGCACAGAGGUAAAAGAAUAGUCAUCCACAGACAAGCAAAAGAGCAAUCCAUUUACCCGAACUGGAAAGGAGAAGUAGGCUAGAUAAGGAGGAAAGACGGACCAUAAGGCCAAGGAUGAACAACAAGCAAAAUGAACUGAACGCAAAAAAGGUUAACAAAUAUGCAUUUCAUCAAACAUCUUGCAGAAAAGAAAAUGGAGCGUGGUGUCACCUCAAUUAAUCGCCGAAGGAAGAACGGAUGGCAAGAUAAUCAACCUACACACGAUGCGGACAGAAGGAAGAACACGAAAUCAGCAGGGCAUAGAAAAAAUAAGGGUACACGACAAGAUCAGGAAAGGAGAACGAAUCUCAACCAAUAGUCCCGUCCAGAGUAUGGACGACAUUGCAGCCGACGAGAGCACCACCGGUGAAGGAGAGGAAAUCCAAUCGAAGAGAGAGAGAGAGAGCGCAACACAACGAGGAGGAGAAAGAGAGCAAAGCGGUCAAAGCGAGAGCGCGGCCGACCUAUGCUCGUUAGCAAGUCAUGCCGGCCUCCUAACCCUCCCCUGCCAGCCAGCCCCCGAUGCGAAGAAUCCGCCGGCCCUACUAUCCCGCGGCGACGACCUGCACUGAUUUAGAACCAUCGCACGCAGCAGCGCAGAUCCGAAAGGUGCCAAAGCAGAUGACGAGCCAGCGUGCGAGGCCACGAUCCGAUCCUUCCGCCUGUUGGCCUCGCUCGCGCUGCUCCUCAGGAAAUGCCGUUGUGAGGUGGGGGGCUGGGAGGCCGGCAGCCGGAGAGAAAUCGGUGGAGUAAACCGGAGCAGCGAGGAGGCGGAUUGAUGGCUGACGAGGAGAAAGGAGGAGGAGAGAGAAGGACGGGAUGCGGGUCUCGAGAUGUGAGGGAACACUACCGGCUGCGCUACAGCAAAAGCGAACGCCCACACCCAGCCGCAAGACCGGGGUCACCGGUCAUGGCGCAGGAGUCAGCCAGAGCACGACGCAUGACCCGACUCACUCCGACCGCAGACGAAACUCAACGACAUGAACAGAAAAAAAUCAACCCAUAGACGUGUAGGACCAUCAUCCAACGUGGCCCACCGGUCAUUGCAUGGAAAGGCAGCGGCGGGUGUGUAUGCGGCAGCACAUCUCGUACGCAUCAUGACGUAGGAGCACUAUGCAUCGGUCUGCUACCCCGCGCGCACAUCCAUG
rnacentral:lncRNA from 1 species